rnacentral:rRNA from 1 species
CGCGUAGGAAUCUACCCAGUAGUGGGGGACAACUUGGGGAAACCCAAGCUAAUACCGCAUACGCCCUAAGGGGGAAAGCGGGGGAUCUUCGGACCUCGCGCUAUUGGAUGAGCCUGCGUUGGAUUAGCUAGUUGGUGGGGUAAAGGCCUACCAAGGCGACGAUCCAUAGCUGGUCUGAGAGGAUGAUCAGCCACACUGGAACUGAGACACGGUCCAGACUCCUACGGGAGGCAGCAGUGGGGAAUAUUGCACAAUGGGCGCAAGCCUGAUGCAGCCGUGCCGCGUGUGUGAAGAAGGCCC